GGCAGCAGCCGCGGGAACACCGGCGGCCCGAGUGGUGAUCGUGAUUAUGGGUCUAAAGGGUCCGUAGCCGGUUUGGUCAGUCCUCCGGGAAAUCUGAUAGCUCAACUAUUAGGCUUUCGGGGGAUACUGCCAGACUUGGAACCGGGAGAGGUAAGAGGUACUACAGGGGUAGGAGUGAAAUCUUGUAAUCCCUGUGGGACCACCUGUGGCGAAGGCGUCUUACCAGAACGGGUUCGACGGUGAGGGACGAAAGCUGGGGGCACGAACCGGAUUAGAUACCCGGGUAGUCCCAGCCGUAAACGAUGCUCGCUAGGUGUCAGGCAUGGCGCGACCGUGUCUGGUGCCGCAGGGAAGCCGUGAAGCGAGCCACCUGGGAAGUACGGCCGCAAGGCUGAAACUUAAAGGAAUUGGCGGGGGAGCACAACAACGGGUGGAAGCCUGCGGUUUAAUUGGACUCAACGCCGGACAACUCACCGGGGGCGACAGCAAUAUGUAGGCCAAGCUGAAGACUUUGCCUGAAUCGCUGAGGGGUGGUGCAUGG
rnacentral:rRNA from 1 species